rnacentral:rRNA from 1 species
UAAUUUGAAGGUAGUUUUCUGGUGCUGGCCCUUGUYUAUGUUCCUUGGAACAGGACGUCAUAGAGGGUGAGAAUCCCGUCUGAUGGGGUGUCCAGUGCUUUGUAGAUUUCUACCGAAGAGUCGAGUUGUUUGGGAAUGCAGCUCUAAGUGGGUGGUAAAUUCCAUCUAAAGCUAAAUACUGGCGAGAGACCGAUAGCGAACAAGUACAGUGAUGGAAAGAUGAAAAGAACUUUGAAAAGAGAGUGAAAAAGUACGUGAAAUUGUUGAAAGGGAAGGGUAUUGGAUCAGACUUGGUGUCUUGUGAUUAUCUUCCCUUCUUGGGUUGUGCACUCGCAUUUCACUGGGCCAGCAUCGGUUCGGAUGGCAAGAUAAUGGCUUGGGAAUGUGGCACUCUUCGGAGUGUGUUAUAGCCCUUGUUGAUGUUGCCUAUCUGGACCGAGGACUGCGGCUYUUGCCUAGGAUGC